rnacentral:tRNA from 5 species
GGCGACGUGGCCAAGUGGUAAGGCAGGGGCCUGCAAAGCCCUUAUCCCCGGUUCGAAUCCGGGCGUCGCCUCCA